GACGUUUCGUGGAACCCAGUCAGA
rnacentral:piRNA from 1 species